rnacentral:rRNA from 1 species
GUGGGGAAUCUUCCGCAAUGGACGAAAGUCUGACGGAGCAACGCCGCGUGAGUGAUGAAGGUCUUCGGAUUGUAAAGCUCUGUUAAUCGGGACGAAAGAGCCUAGUGUGAAUAAUGCUAGGAAGUGACGGUACCGGAAUAGAAAGCCACGGCUAACUACGUGCCAGCAGCCGCGGUAAUACGUAGGUGGCAAGCGUUGUCCGGAAUUAUUGGGCGUAAAGUGCGCGCAGGCGGAUCUGCCAGUCUGUCUUAAAAGUUCGGGGCUUAACCCCGUGAUGGGAUGGAAACUACAGAUCUAGAGUAUCGGAGAGGAAAGUGGAAUUCCUAGUGUAGCGGUGAAAUGCGUAGAUAUUAGGAGGAACACCAGUGGCGAAGGCGACUUUCUGGACUGUAACUGACGCUGAGGCUCGAAAGCCAGGGGAGCGAACGGGAUUAGAAACCCGGGUAGUCC